UACGAAGGGGGCUAGCGUUGUUCGGAAUGACUGGGCGUAAAGGGCGCGUAGGCGGCUCAUACAGUCAGAUGUGAAAUUCCUGGGCUUAACCUGGGGGCUGCAUUUGAUACGUGUGGGCUUGAGUGGGGAAGAGGGUCGUGGAAUUCCCAGUGUAGAGGUGAAAUUCGUAGAUAUUGGGAAGAACACCGGUGGCGAAGGCGGCGACCUGGUCCUUGACUGACGCUGAGGCGCGAAAGCGUGGGGAGCAAACAGG
rnacentral:rRNA from 1 species